rnacentral:rRNA from 1 species
GACAGAGGGUGCAAACGUUGUUCGGAAUUACUGGGCGUAAAGCGAGUGUAGGCGGUUUGGUAAGUCGGAUGUGAAAGCCCCGGGCUCAACCCGGGAAGUGCACUCGAUACUGCCAAGCUAGAGUAUCGGAGAGGUUGGUGGAAUUCCCGGUGUAGCGGUGAAAUGCGCAGAUAUCGGGAGGAACACCGGUGGCGAAGGCGGUUCUCUGGGCCUGACCUGACGCUGAGGAGCGAAAGCGUGGGGAGCGAACAGG